rfam:Aedes albopictus isolate Foshan contig59374, whole genome shotgun sequence.
UAGCCAAGUGGUUAAGGCUAUGGAUCGCCAAUCCGGAGACGGCGGGUUCGAUUCCCGU